rnacentral:rRNA from 1 species
UUAGUAGCGGACGGGUGAGUAACGCGUAGGGAUUUAUCGUUGGGUGGGGGAUAACCCUGGGAAACUGGGGCUAAUACCGCAUGACGCCUGUGGGCCAAAGUCCGAAAGGGUGCCUGACGAGGAGCCUGCGUCCGAUUAGCUAGUUGGUUGGGUAAAGGCUGACCAAGGCAUCGAUCGGUAGCUGGUCUGAGAGGAUGAUCAGCCACACUGGGACUGAGACACGGCCCAG